GAUGAACGCUGGCGGCGUGCCUAAUACAUGCAAGUCGAGCGAACGGACGAGAAGCUUGCUUCUCUGAUGUUAGCGGCGGACGGGUGAGUAACACGUGGAUAACCUACCUAUAAGACUGGGAUAACUUCGGGAAACCGGAGCUAAUACCGGAUGAUAUUUUGAACCGCAUGGUUCAAAAGUGAAAGACGGUCUUGCUGUCACUUAUAGAUGGAUCCGCGCUGCAUUAGCUAGUUGGUAAGGUAACGGCUUACCAAGGCAACGAUGCAUAGCCGAACUGAGAGGGUGAUCGGCCACACUGGAACUGAGACACGGACCACACUCCUACGGGAAGCAGCAGUAGGGAAUCUUCCGCAAUGGGCGAAAGCCUGACGGAGCAACGCCGCGUGAGUGAAGAAGGUCUUCGGAUCGUAAAACUCUGUUAUUAGGGAAGAACAUAUGUGUAAGUAACUGUGCACAUCCUGACGGUACCUAAUCAGAAAGCCACGGCUAACUACGUG
rnacentral:rRNA from 1 species